ACUCCAAAUUGGCCUCAUCAAUAUAUUUCGCCAAUUCUCUAAAGAAAAGAGGCUCUUUUGUGAGUAAUAACUCCUUGAUGUUAUUAAAUCGCUUGAAAAUCUUGUACUUUUUCCUAAUACUGGCAUGUCUCUGGCAGUAGAAAAUUUCGUGUUCCGCAUCAUCGAGAACACUGCAAACUUCACAGAUGUUGGAAUUUCUGGCUUUGAUCCUAUGUAAAAAGACGUGAUCAUAGUCGAUCUGGACUCUAAUCUUAACUGUUCUAAUUACUUCAUCGAAGCUGAGAGCAAUGUUCUUAUGACCGGGUAUCCAGUGCAAAACAAAGUUGCUAGUGAAGGAAUUGUCUAUAUUGAG